AGUUCAUCAAAAUUGGAUUUGUUUUAAAAUUAAUUGUGAAUCUGUGUAAUCUGAGGGAGGUACUGUAUGUGUCUCUAAUGUGGUCAUACAUUUGGCAGAAGAAUAGGAAGUGCAGUUCUGUUUCCACCUCGUUUUUUGGGCAGUGUGCACAUAGCCCGUCUUCUCUUGAGAGCCAGGUCUGCCUACGGCGACAUUUCACUGUGUACUCUCUGUUUAGGUACAAAUUGCAUUCUAGUUUGCUUAGUUUUUUGGCAAAUUCUUUCCAAUGUGUCAAGUUUGUAAACCGAGCUCCAGGACCAGCUUCCUUAGGGGAUUAUUCUUCAAGGGAGACUGUGAUUUUGCUGUGAUCUGAUAGGGGUGUCAGUGGGCAGACUGUAAACGUUCUGAGACUCUGGAUUGAGAGCCAAAAAGAUUGGAGAAGUUGUCACAUGAGAUGACGCUGGAGAGAUGAAGCAGGUACGGGGAGUAAAACCUUUCAUCAAGACGGACAUGGAACGAGACAGGAACAGCGUCAGCAAACUAAUACUAAAGACAAAAAACAAUACAUGCAGCAGCGGGGAACAAAGCAGGGGAACUGACAAAUAUAGGAGAGGAAAUAAAUAGAUGAGUGAGUCCAAGUGAGUCCAAUAUCGCUGAUGCGCAUGACGAGGGAAUGCAGGUGUGCGUAAUGGAUGGAGGGAGUGCAUGAUGCAAAGCAACCUGGCGCCCUCAAGUGCCGGGGGGGGGAGGAGUGGGAUCAGACGUAACAUUACACCCCCUCUUGGGGCGCCACUCGGCAUCCCACUUGGGCGACCCGGCCGAGAUAUUGUUCUAUUGUUUCUAGUACUUGUUUGGUAUAUGCUUAACACCCCGGCCGUCCUACAAUCUAAACUAGAUGCCCUCAAUCUCACACAAAU
rnacentral:lncRNA from 1 species